rnacentral:rRNA from 1 species
GACAGAGGGUGCAAACGUUGUUCGGAAUUACUGGGCGUAAAGCGAGUGUAGGCGGUCUCGUAAGUCGGAUGUGAAAGCCCCGGGCUCAACCCGGGAAGUGCACUCGAAACUGCGAGGCUAGAGUAUCGGAGAGGUUGGUGGAAUUCUCGGUGUAGAGGUGAAAUUCGUAGAUAUCGAGAGGAACACCGGUGGCGAAGGCGGCCAACUGGACGAAUACUGACGCUGAGACUCGAAAGCGUCGGGAGCAAACAGG